rnacentral:rRNA from 1 species
UCGAGCGGAUGAGAGGAGCUUGCUCCUGGAUUCAGCGGCGGACGGGUGAGUAAUGCCUAGGAAUCUGCCUGGUAGUGGGGGACAACGUUUCGAAAGGAACGCUAAUACCGCAUACGUCCUACGGGAGAAAGCAGGGGACCUUCGGGCCUUGCGCUAUCAGAUGAGCCUAGGUCGGAUUAGCUAGUUGGUGAGGUAAUGGCUCACCAAGGCGACGAUCCGUAACUGGUCUGAGAGGAUGAUCAGUCACACUGGAACUGAGACACGGUCCAGACUCCUACGGGAGGCAGCAGUGGGGAAUAUUGGACAAUGGGCGAAAGCCUGAUCCAGCCAUGCCGCGUGUGUGAAGAAGGUCUUCGGAUUGUAAAGCACUUUAAGUUGGGAGGAAGGGCAGUAACUUAAUACGUUGCUGUUUUGACGUUACCGACAGAAUAAGCACCGGCUAACUCUGUGCCAGCAGCCGCGGUAAUACAGAGGGUGCAAGCGUUAAUCGGAAUUACUGGGCGUAAAGCGCGCGUAGGUGGUUCGUUAAGUUGGAUGUGAAAUCCCCGGGCUCAACCUGGGAACUGCAUUCAAAACUGUCGAGCUAGAGUAUGGUAGAGGGUGGUGNAAUUUCCUGUGUAGCG